GGAUGAACGCUGGCGGCGUGCCUACUCCAUGCAAGUCGAGCGAACGGACGAGAAGCUUGCUUCUCUGAUGUUAGCGGCGGACGGGUGAGUAACACGUGGAUAACCUACCUAUAAGACUGGGAUAACUUCGGGAAACCGGAGCUAAUACCGGAUAAUAUUUUGAACCGCAUGGUUCAAAAGUGAAAGACGGUCUUGCUGUCACUUAUAGAUGGAUCCGCGCUGCAUUAGCUAGUUGGUAAGAUAACGGCUUACCAAGGCAACGAUGCAUAGCCGACCUGAGAGGGUGAUCGGCCACACUGGAACUGAGACACGGUCCAGACUCCUACGGGAGGCAGCAGUAGGGAAUCUUCCGCAAUGGGCGAAAGCCUGACGGAGCAACGCCGCGUGAGUGAUGAAGGUCUUCGGAUCGUAAAACUCUGUUAUUAGGGAAGAACAUAUGUGUAAGUAACUGUGCACAUCUUGACGGUACCUAAUCAGAAAGCCACGGCUAACUACGUG
rnacentral:rRNA from 1 species